AGCGAACGCUGGCGGCAGGCCUAACACAUGCAAGUCGAACGGCUCUUCGGAGCAGUGGCGGACGGGUGAGUAACGCGUGGGAACGUGCCCUUUGGUUCGGAACAACACAGGGAAACUUGUGCUAAUACCGGAUGAGCCCUUUGGGGGAAAGAUUUAUCGCCAUUGGAGCGGCCCGCGUUGGAUUAGGUAGUUGGUGGGGUAAAGGCCCACCAAGCCGACGAUCCAUAGCUGGUCUGAGAGGAUGAGCAGCCACACUGGGACUGAGACACGGCCCAGACUCCUACGGGAGGCAGCAGUGGGGAAUCUUGCGCAAUGGGCGGAAGCCUGACGCAGCCAUGCCGCGUGAAUGAUGAAGGUCUUAGGAUUGUAAAAUUCUUUCACCGGGGAAGAUGAUGACGGUACCCGGAGAAGAAGCCCCGGCUAACUUCGUGCCAGCCGCCGCCGUAACAC
rnacentral:rRNA from 1 species